UACGUAGGGUGCAAGCGUUAAUCGGAAUUACUGGGCGUAAAGGGCGCGUAGGCGGCCCGCUAAGUCGAACGUGAAAUCCCCGGGCUCAACCCGGGAACUGCGUCCGAUACUGGCGGGCUUGAAUCCGGGAGAGGGAUGCGGAAUUCCAGGUGUAGCGGUGAAAUGCGUAGAUAUCUGGAGGAACACCGGUGGCGAAGGCGGCAUCCUGGACCGGCAUUGACGCUGAGGCGCGAAAGCCAGGGGAGCAAACGGG
rnacentral:rRNA from 1 species